rnacentral:lncRNA from 1 species
ACUACAAAAAAAAUUGUCUUUUGCGACUGAUAUGUAGCGGCUGUUCUUUGGAACCGUCGCCGCUAUCAUAUUUUCAAGAUAGUUUGUGGCCGUUCAAUCCUAAACCGUUGUGAUUUUUUCUAAUUCCGCGCGACUUCACACACUCAAAUCACUCUAUUUUUCUCUCCAGGAUUUCAAUUUUUUUUCUCAAACCCUUUCUUCUUCACAUAUUCGUUCAAAAUCGAUUCCUUCAAUCGCUUUGUUCUUCACAUAUUUUUUUUCUCAAAUUCAUUCAACUUAAGCUUCAAUCUUCACAAUCCAG